rnacentral:rRNA from 1 species
GAUGAACGCUGGCGGCGUGCCUAAUACAUGCAAGUCGAGCGGAAAGGCCUCUUCGGAGGUACUCGAGCGGCGGACGGCUGAGUAACGCGUAGGAACGUACCCCAAACUGAGGGAUAACUGCUCGAAAGAGUAGCUAAUACCGCAUGUGCUCUACGGAGUAAAGCUUCGGCGGUUUGGGAACGGCCUGCGUAAGAUUAGCUUGUUGGUAAGGUAAUGGCGUACCAAGGCGACGAUCUUUAGCUGGUCUGAGAGGAUGAUCAGCCAGACUGGGACUGAGACACGGCGCAGACUCCUACGGGAGGCAGCAGUAGGGAAUUUUCCACAAUGGGCGAAAGCCUGAUGGAGCAACGCCGCGUGCAGGAUGAAUGCCUUCGGGUUGUAAACUGCUUUUAUAAGUGAAGAAUAUGACGGUAACUUAUGAAUAAGGAUCGGCUAACUCCGUGCCAGCAGCCGCCGUAA